rnacentral:lncRNA from 1 species
AAAUCUAGAGGCUUUACCAGAGGGAAUGAUGCACCACGAUUCCACUUGUUGUCUUGAAGAGCUGAAAAUAGAGGGAUGCCCCAGACUGGAGUCAUUUCCCGAUACGGGUUUGCCACCAUUGCUAAGACGACUUGAGGUGAGUGAAUGCAAGGGUCUGAAAUCGCUGCCUCAUAACUACAGCUCAUGUGCCCUUGAAUCCUUGGAGAUUAGCGAUUGUCCAUCUCUCCGAUGCUUUCCAAAUGGUGAGCUACCAACCACACUUAAAAGUAUAUGGAUUCAAGAUUGUGAAAAUCUAGAGUCUUUACCCGAGGGAAUGAUGCACCACGAUUCCACUUGUUGUCUUGAAGAGGUGAUAAUAAUGGGAUGCCCCAGACUGGAGUCAUUUCCAGAUACGGGGUUGCCACCAUUGCUAAGACGACUUGCAGUGAAUGAAUGCGAGGGUCUGAAAUCGCUGCCUCAUAACUACAGCUCAUGUGCCCUUGAAUCCUUGUAGAUUAGAUAUUGUUCAUCUCUCAAGUCCUUUUCAACAAGGGAGUUACCCUCCACCCUUAAGAAACUUGAGAUUUGCGGGUGCCCC